UUGAUGGCGACCGGCGCACGGGUGAGUAACGCGUAUCCAACCUGCCCUUUACUAUGGGACAGCCCGUCGAAAGGCGGAUUAAUACCGUAUGUUGUCAUGUUGAUGCAUAUUUUCAUAACCAAAGGCUUCGGCCGGUAAAGGAUGGGGAUGCGUCUGAUUAGCUUGCCGGCGGGGUAACGGCCCACCGGGGCGACGAUCAGUAGGGGUUCUGAGAGGAAGGUCCCCCACAUUGGAACUGAGACACGGUCCAAACUCCUACGGAAGGCAGCAG
rnacentral:rRNA from 1 species